rnacentral:rRNA from 1 species
GAUGAACGCUGGCGGCGUGCCUAAUACAUGCAAGUCGAGCGAACAGACGAGGAGCUUGCUCCUUUGACGUUAGCGGCGGACGGGUGAGUAACACGUAGGUAACCUACCUAUAAGACUGGGAUAACUUCGGGAAACCGGAGCUAAUACCGGAUAAUAUUUCGAACCGCAUGGUUCGAUAGUUAAAGAUGGCUUUGCUAUCACUUAUAGAUGGACCUGCGCCGUAUUAGCUAGUUGGUAAGGUAACGGCUUACCAAGGCAACGAUACGUAGCCGACCUGAGAGGGUGAUCGGCCACACUGGAACUGAGACACGGUCCAGACUCCUACGGGAGGCAGCAGUAGGGAAUCUUCAGCAAUGGGCGAAAGCCUGACGGAGCAACGCCGCGUGAGUGAUGAAGGUCUUCGGAUCGUAAAACUCUGUUAUUAGGGAAGAACAAACGUGUAAGUAACUGUGCACGUCUUGACGGUACCUAAUCAGAAAGCCACGGCUAACUACGUG